rnacentral:rRNA from 1 species
GAGUUUGAUCAUGGCUCAGGACGAACGCUGGCGGCGUGCUUAACACAUGCAAGUCACGGGGGCUCGCAAGAGCAACCGGCGAAACGGGUGCGUAACACGUGAGCAACCUACCGAUUUGUGGGGGAUAGCUGGCCUAACGGCCAGGUAAUACCGCAUACGCUUUUCUGGUCACCUGACCGGAUCUGGAAACCUCCGGGGCAAAUCGAGGGGCUCGCGGCCUAUCAGCUAGUUGGCGAGGUCACGGCUCACCAAGGCGACGACGGGUAGCUGGUCUGAGAGGAUGGCCAGCCACAUUGGGACUGAGAAACGGCCCAGACUCCUACCGGAGGCAGCAGUGGGGAAUCUUGCGCAAUGGGCGAAAGCCUGACGCAGCGACGCCGCGUGGGGGAUGAAGGUUUUCGGAUCGUAAACCCCUGUUGCCCGGGACGAACUUCUCCUUUCGAGGAGAUUGACGGUACCGGGUGAGGAAGCACCGGCUAACUCUGUGCCAGCCGCCGCGGUAAG